rnacentral:tRNA from 1 species
GGCUCCAUAGUGUAGUGGUUAGCACAUCUGCUUUAAAUGAAGGUCCUGGGUUCACACCCUAGGUAGAGCCA